UAAAGAAGCAAAAGCUACCGUUUAAAAGCCA
rnacentral:piRNA from 1 species